rnacentral:rRNA from 1 species
CACGUAGGGCGCGAGCGUUGUCCGGAAUUAUUGGGCGUAAAGAGCUCGUAGGCGGCCUGUUGCGUCCGCUGUGAAAGCCCGGGGCUUAACCCCGGGUCUGCAGUGGAUACGGGCAGGCUAGAGGUAGGUAGGGGAGAAUGGAAUUCCCGGUGUAGCGGUGAAAUGCGCAGAUAUCUGGAGGAACACCGGUGGCGAAGGCGGCCAUCUGGACGGUAACUGACGCUGAGACGCGAAAGCGUGGGGAGCAAACAGG